rnacentral:rRNA from 1 species
AUUGAACGCUGGCGGCAUGCCUUACACAUGCAAAUCGAACGGUAACGGGCCUUCGGGUGCCGACGAGUGGCGAACGGGUGAGUAAUACAUCGGAACGUGCCCGAUCGUGGGGGAUAACGAGGCGAAAGCUUUGCUAAUGCCGCAUACGAUCUACGGAUGAAAGCAGGGGACCGCAAGGCCUUGCGCGGACGGAGCGGCCGAUGGCGGAUUAGGUAGUUGGUGGGAUAAAAGCUUACCAAGCCGACGAUCUGUAGCUGGUCUGAGAGGAUGAUCAGCCACACUGGGACUUGGACACGGCCCAGACUCCUACGGGAGGCAGCAGUGGGGAAUUUUGGACAAUGGGCGCAAGCCUGAUCCAGCCAUGCCGCGUGCAGGAUGAAGGCCUUCGGGUUGUAAACUGAUUUUGUACGGAACGAAAAGCCUUCUUUUAAUACAGGAGGGUCAUGACGGUACCGGAAGAAUAAGCACCGGCUAACUACGUG